rnacentral:tRNA from 1 species
GCUUCGGUAGCUCAGUGGUAAAGCUCCUCAUAUAGUGAGCGAAAGCGCCUAGCAACAACAAGCAGGCGGUCGCAGGUUCGAAUCCUGACCGGUGGU